rnacentral:rRNA from 1 species
AGUCGAACGAGCGAGAGAGAGCUUGCUUUCUCGAGCGAGUGGCGAACGGGUGAGUAACGCGUGAGGAACCUGCCUCAAAGAGGGGGACAACAGUUGGAAACGACUGCUAAUACCGCAUAAGCCCACGACCCGGCAUCGGGUUGAGGGAAAAGGAGCAAUCCGCUUUGAGAUGGCCUCGCGUCCGAUUAGCUNGUUGGUGAGGUAACGGCCCACCAAGGCGACGAUCGGUAGCCGGACUGAGAGGUUGAACGGCCACAUUGGGACUGAGACACGGCCCAGACUCCUACGGGAGGCAGCAGUGGGGAAUAUUGCACAAUGGGGGAAACCCUGAUGCAGCGACGCCGCGUGGAGGAAGAAGGUCUUCGGAUUGUAAACUCCUGUUGUUGAGGAAGAUAAUGACGGUACUCAACAAGGAAGUGACGGCUAACUACGUGCCAGCAGCCGCGGUAAAACGUAGGUCACAAGCGUUGUCCGGAAUUACUGGGUGUAAAGGGAGCGCAGGCGGGAAGACAAGUUGGAAGUGAAAUCUAUGGGCUCAACCCAUAAACUGCUUUCAAAACUGUUUUUCUUGAGUAGUGCAGAGGUAGGCGGAAUUCCCGGUGUAGCGGUGGAAUGCGUAGAUAUCGGGAGGAACACCAGUGGCGAAGGCGGCCUACUGGGCACCAACUGACGCUGAGGCUCGAAAGUGUGGGUAGCAAACAGGAUUAGAUACCCUGGUAGUCCACACCGUAAACGAUGAUUACUAGGUGUUGGAGGAUUGACCCCUUCA